rnacentral:rRNA from 1 species
GUCUUGCAAUUGGAUUGAGAACAACGUACAACUCUUAUCGAUAAGCCAUUGGAGGGCAAGUCUGGUGCCAGCAGCCGCGGUAAUUCCAGCUCCAAUAGCGUAUAUUAACGUUGUUGCAGUUAAAAAGCUCGUAGUUGAAGUGAGGGAGUGUGUGUUCAUGAGAGCUAGUCUCGAGUGUUCACAACCUCCCCCCUCCAAUCGGUGUAGUGGGGUAUUCAGUUAUUUCACUACUCCUUUGGUCGUUUACUGUGAGAAAAUUAGAGUGUUCAAAGCGGGCGUUUGUUUGAAUAGAUUAGCAUGGAAUAAUGAUUGAAGGCUUUCGUGUUCGAUUUGAUUGGUUUGUUCAUGGAAGCAAGGUUAAAAGGAACAGUUGGGGGUAUUCAUAUUCACUAGUUAGAGGUGAAAUUCUCGGAUUUAUGGAAGAUGAACAAGUGCGAAAGCAA